rnacentral:misc_RNA from 1 species
AAGCCAUGGGAUAUAUUUGUGAAGCAAUGAAUAGGGCUAAAGAAACCAUUGACAACUCACUCAACGACAACGAAGAGAAAUUUUGAUAUUAUUGAUGCGAGAUGGUCAAUUUAAUUGCAUUGUCCUUUGCAUGCUGUUGAAUAUUUCUUAAAUCCUGAAUUUUUUGAUCCAAACAAGAUGAGAGUUAAGCAUGAUGAAGAGGUGAAUUCAGGCUU